UAGAGAGGGACUGUUUUUCAGGCUGGCCUGACUGAACUUGAGUUUAUGGUGACAAAACUGUUGCUCAUCUUUAUCAUGCAGAUGACUAUUUAAAGAAAGCAGUUAAACGACAAUAUUAGACACUGUAACCUGUGGCCUGUACUACACAGUGAGGUAACUUGCUUAUCCAGCACCUCCGGAAGCAGAAGCUGCAGGUCUUAAUGAAGAUGAAUAUCAAGAACAGUAUGAUAGCAAGGAGGAAGGCCACAACAUCCAGGCUGUGAUACUCAUACCAGGCAGGACUGAGAACCUACUGCCACCCUGACCAUCAAGUUAGGGAGGAAACAAAAGUCACAAAGUGCUUUACAUGGUUGGACAACAAUGUCAACCUUUCAGGGCAGAGGCAUAUACAAUCAAGCAAUUAAAAUGAUACAAAGUUUAAGUGGAAGAAGAUCCCCACAACAGGGAUGACAGUAAUAAUAAAAAGGUGGAGUGGAGACCCACAAUUGCUGUGAGGAAUUCAUGGGAGCACCUAGAUGGCAGGUGCUUAAGCACCUCCUGAAGCAGAAACUGCAGGUCUUAAUGAAGAUCAAUAUCAAGAACAGUACAAUGGCGAGGAGGAAGGCCACAACAUCCAGGCUGUGAUACUCGUACCAGCACCUCCGGAAGCAGAAACUGCAGGUCUUAAUAAAGAUGAAUAUCAGGAACAGUACGAUAGCAAGAAGGAAGGCCACAACAUCCAGGCUGUGAUACUCGUACCAGAAGCCUCGGGCUUCAUCCAGCUAGAGCCGACCAUCUGCAGCGUGUCAAGUUGCUCCUGCGAGCUCAUCUCCUUCGCCCUGGACGCUCCAGCGCCCCGCUCCCUCUCCGGUAGACCUACUAUGGGUUUAAAUAGGCCGUUUUUCCGUUUUAUAAAAUUUUGGUCCCAAUACAAAAAACCAACAUUCAGCUUGAUUUUUCUUUUUUUCUUUUCUUUUUUUUUUUAUUAAUCAAAACCA